rnacentral:snRNA from 11 species
CAGAUUAGCAUGGCCCCUGGCGCAAGGAUGACGCGCAUAAUCAUAGAAAUCAGAUUUAUAAUU